AUUGAACGCUGGCGGCAGGCCUAACACAUGCAAGUCGAGCGAGCGGCGGACGGGUGAGUAAUGUAUGGGGACUGCCCGAUGGAGGGGGAUAACUACUGGAAACGGUGGCUAAUACCGCAUACUAUCGGAUAACCCAGAUGGGAUUAGAUAGUAGGUGGGGUAACGGCUCACCAAGGCGACGAUCGGUAGGGGGUCUGAGAGGCAGAUCCCCCACACUGGGCCUGAGACACGUUCCGAACGCCUACGGAUGCAGCAGUGGGGAAUAUUGCACAAUUGGCGCAAGCCUGAUGCAGCCAUGCCGCGUGUAUGAAGAAGGCCUUCGGGUUGUAAAGUACUUUCAGCCGGGAGGCGUUACCGACAGAAGAAGCACCGGCUAACUCCGUGCCAGCAGCCGCGGUAAUAC
rnacentral:rRNA from 1 species